GAUGAACGCUGGCGGCGUGCUUAACACAUGCAAGUCGAACGGAAAGGCCCAAGCUUGCUUGGGUACUCGAGUGGCGAACGGGUGAGUAACACGUGGGUGAUCUGCCCUGCACUUCGGGAUAAGCCUGGGAAACUGGGUCUAAUACCGGAUAGGACCACUUCUUGGAUGGUGUGGUGGGAAGUGUUUUCGGUGUGGGAUGAGCUCGCGGCCUAUCAGCUUGUUGGGGGGGUAAUGGGCUACCAAGGCGUCGACGGGUAGCCGGCCUGGGAGGGUGUACGGGCAAAUUGGGAAUGAGGUAAGGCCCAGAAUCCUACGGGGGGCAGGAGGGGGGAAUAUUGCACAAUGGGGGGAAGCCUGAUGCAGCGACGCCGCGUGGGGGAUGACGGGCUUCGGGUUGUAAACUCCUUUCGCUAGGGACGAAGCGGUUUGUGACGGUACCUGGAGAAGAAGCACCGGCUAACUACGUG
rnacentral:rRNA from 1 species